CCUACGGGAGGCAGCAGUGAGGAAUAUUGCGCAAUGGAGGAAACUCUGACGCAGCCAUGCCGCGUGAGUGAUGAAGGCCUUCGGGUUGUAAAGCUCUUUCAAUAGUGAAGAUAAUGACGGUAGCUAUAGAAGAAGCUCCGGCUAAAUUCGUGCCAUCA
rnacentral:rRNA from 1 species